rnacentral:rRNA from 1 species
GACGAACGCUGGUGGCGUGCUUAACACAUGCAAGUCGAACGGUGAAGCCCAGCUUGCUGGGUGGAUCAGUGGCGAACGGGUGAGUAACACGUGAGCAACCUGCCCUCCACUUCGGGAUAAGCCUUGGAAACGAGGUCUAAUACCGGAUAUGAGCGCCUGCCGCAUGGUGGGUGUUGGAAAGUUUUUCGGUGGGGGAUGGGCUCGCGGCCUAUCAGCUUGUUGGUGGGGUAAUGGCCUACCAAGGCGUCGACGGGUAGCCGGCCUGAGAGGGCGACCGGCCACACUGGGACUGAGACACGGCCCAGACUCCUACGGGAGGCAGCAGUGGGGAAUAUUGCACAAUGGGCGAAAGCCUGAUGCAGCGACGCCACGUGAGGGAUGACGGCCUUCGGGUUGUAAACCUCUUUCAGCAGGAAGAAGCGCAAGUGACGGUACCUGCAGAAGAAGCGCCGGCUAACUACGUGCCAGCAGCCGCAGUAA